rnacentral:rRNA from 1 species
AUGAACGCUGGCGGCGUGCCUAAUACAUGCAAGUCGAGCGAACAGACGAGGAGCUUGCUCCUCUGACGUUAGCGGCGGACGGGUGAGUAACACGUGGAUAACCUACCUAUAAGACUGGGAUAACUUCGGGAAACCGGAGCUAAUACCGGAUAAUAUAUUGAACCGCAUGGUUCAAUAGUGAAAGACGGUUUUACUGUCACUUAUAGAUGGAUCCGCGCCGCAUUAGCUAGUUGGUAAGGUAACGGCUUACCAAGGCGACGAUGCGUAGCCGACCUGAGAGGGUGAUCGGCCACACUGGAACUGAGACACGGUCCAGACUCCUACGGGAGGCAGCAGUAGGGAAUCUUCCGCAAUGGGCGAAAGCUUGACGGAGCAACGCCGCGUGAGUGAUGAAGGUCUUCGGAUCGUAAAACUCUGUUAUUAGGGAAGAACAAAUGUGUAAGUAACUAUGCACGUCUUGACGGUACCUAAUCAGAAAGCCACGGCUAACUACGUG